UAGUUUAUUUGUCUUGCCGGUAUUAGCCGAAUAUUGUAACCAAAACCUUAAGCCAAAGAUUGCUACCGAAACGUUUGCAGUGGUAAAUUUGGACUAAAACCAAACACAUUCUUUUCUUUCUUUUUUUCUCAUGGUAGGCUUGUCAAAAUAGUAUAGACAUGAAAAAAAAUUGAGAUUGUUAAGAUAGAUCUUACUGGUAUUCGGUGCUGUAAAGAGAGCCUCGAGGAUAACUAUUGGUAAGUCUGUUAUGUAGAAUUUUUUUGAUGAUGUAGAAGACAGGAAUAAAUGAGAAGAUAUAGAAAUUAAGAUUGCAUAUAUUUAAAUGAACAGAUAACUAAUCACACGCAAGUUCCAAGGUAAAACGAGAGAGCAAACACUUAUAUGGUUGCACCCUUUGUUGGACAAUAACAUGCAACUGAAAAAACACAUCAAUAUAUAUCAUCCAAAGUUUGGCGUAAUCCCCGGACCGAGGGAAUACAAUCUACCUACUUAACACCCGAAGACUGUAGCGAAAUAUUCGUGAGCGAUUGUCUCCCUUUUUUUUGACACGAUGAUCAAUCGUCCAUUCUUUUUUUUUAGAGCAAGAUCUACACAAUCGAGCUGUUUUCCUCAUUCUAGGGCCCAUAUAGAGCUACUCCCGUCCGGUGGACAGUGGACCCAUCCUCGCCAGUGGGGCUCACACAAAAUUGCCAGUUGAGAGUUUACGCGGUGCAAAACCGAACCAGAAACCAAAAACAGGAAAAAAAUACCCGAAACCGAAUUCACCCUGUGCAACACCGAAACCAAAAACAGGAAAAACAUACCCGAAACCGAGUUCACCCUGUGCAAAACCGAACCAGACC
rnacentral:lncRNA from 1 species